CCCGCAAGGGGGGACAGCGGCGAAAGGGACAGUAAUGUGUAGAUUAUCUGCCCUCAGGUCCGGGAUAGCUGCGGGAAACUGCAGGUAAUACCGGAUAACAUCUCCGGAUCAAAGGUGUGAUUCCGCCUGAGGAUGAGUCUACAUCCUAUUAGCUAGUUGGCGAGGUAAUGGCUCACCAAGGCUUUGAUGGGUAGCGGGUGUGAGAGCACGACCCGCGUCAUUGGGACUGAGACACUGCCCAGACACCUACGGGUGGCUGCAGUCGAGAAUCUUCGGCAAUGGGCGCAAUCCUGACCGAGCGACGCCGCGUGUGGGAUGAAGGCCUUCGGGUUGUAAACCACUGUCAGAGGGGAUGAAAUGCAGGUGGGUUCUCCCAUCUGUUUGACAUAGCCUCAGAGGAAGGACGGGCUAAGUUCGUGCCAGCAGCCGCGGUAAGACGAACCGUCCAAACGUUAUUCGGAAUCACUGGGCUUAAAGGGUGCGUAGGCGGCGCGGAAAGUUGGGUGUGAAAUCCCUCGGCUCAACCGAGGAACUGCGCCCAAAACUACCGUGCUCGAGGGAGAUAGAGGUGAGCGGAACUUAGGGUGGAGCGGUGAAAUGCGUUGAUAUCCUAAGGAACACCGGCGGCGAAAGCGGCUCACUGGAUCUCUUCUGACGCUGAGGCACGAAAGCUAGGGUAGCGAACGGGAUUAGAUACCCCGGUAGUCCUAGCCGUAAACGAUGAGCACUGGAUUGGAGGGUCCUCCAUAGCCUUCCAGUCGCAACGAAAGCGUUAAGUGCUCCGCCUGGGGAGUAUGGUCGCAAGGCUG
rnacentral:rRNA from 1 species